UCCGGUUUGUCACCGGCAGUCAUCCUAGAGUGCCCAACCAAAUGCUGGCAACUAAGAUCAAGGGUUGCGCUCGUUGCGGGACUUAACCCAACAUCUCACGACACGAGCUGACGACAACCAUGCACCACCUGUCUCUCUUGUCCCGAAGGCCUACAUUAUCUCUAAUGUAUUCAAGAGGAUGUCAAGACCUGGUAAGGUUCUUCGCGUUGCUUCGAAUUAAACCACAUACUCCACUGCUUGUGCGGGUCCCCGUCAAUUCCUUUGAGUUUUAGCCUUGCGGCCGUACUCCCCAGGCGGGGUGCUUAAUGCGUUAGCUUCGGCACGGACGGAGUCGACACCGCCCACACCUAGCACCCAUCGUUUACGGCGUGGACUAC
rnacentral:misc_RNA from 1 species